rnacentral:lncRNA from 1 species
UUUCAAGGAAACAUGUGAAAUACGUUCAAUCGGUCUCAGAUCUGAGAAGAUCAAAGGUAAAAAUUAGCAUUUUUAGAAGUAUAAUAGAGAUGAGCUCAUAUACUUUGGAAACAAUAUAUUUUAGACGAAAAUGAGAAAGAUCUUACUCAAGGUCAAGCCAAAUGGAUUAAAAACCCAAAGGUGUAAAGAAGACUUGCCCUCAUCCCUUGAGAAUCUCCUCAAGAAUUUAGGAGAUGGAGAUAUCAUAAUAUAGGUGGCCAUUGUAUGCUUGAGGUGGUGAAGAACCACCAUAGAAUGGCUAUAGGCUAG